rnacentral:rRNA from 1 species
AUUGAACGCUGGCGGCAUGCCUUACACAUGCAAGUCGAACGGCAGCACGGGGCAACCUGGUGGCGAGUGGCGAACGGGUGAGUAAUGCAUCGGAACGUACCUUUCAGUGGGGGAUAACGUAGCGAAAGUUACGCUAAUACCGCAUAUUCUGUGAGCAGGAAAGCAGGGGAUCGCAAGACCUUGCGCUGAUUGAGCGGCCGAUGUCAGAUUAGCUAGUUGGUGAGGUAAAGGCUCACCAAGGCGACGAUCUGUAGCGGGUCUGAGAGGAUGAUCAGCCACGCUGGAACGGAGAAACGGUCCGGGCUCCUACGGGAGGCAGCAGUGGGGAAUUUUGGACAAUGGGGGCAACCCUGAUCCAGCCAUGCCGCGUGAGUGAAGAAGGCCUUCGGGUUGUAAAGCUCUUUCGGCCGGGAAGAAAUCGCACGGGCUAAUACCCUGUGUGGAUGACGGUACCGGAAUAAGAAGCACCGGCUAACUACGUGCCAGCCGCCGCCGUAAAAC